rnacentral:rRNA from 1 species
CGCGGUGAAUACGUUCCCCGGGCCGUGUACACACCGCCCGUCAAGCCAUGGAAGUCAGGGAGACCUGAAGACGGUAACCGUAUAGGAGCCGUUUAGGGUAAAACGUGGUAACGUGGGGCU